AGUGAACGCUGGCGGUAGGCCUAACACAUGCAAGUCGAACGGCAGCACAGGAGAGCUUGCUCUCCGGGUGGCGAGUGGCGGACGGGUGAGGAAUACAUCGGAAUCUACUUUUUCGUGGGGGAUAACGUAGGGAAACUUACGCUAAUACCGCAUACGACCUACGGGUGAAAGCAGGGGAUCUUCGGACCUUGCGCGAUUGAAUGAGCCGAUGUCGGAUUAGCUAGUUGGCGGGGUAAAGGCCCACCAAGGCGACGAUCCGUAGCUGGUCUGAGAGGAUGAUCAGCCACACUGGAACUGAGACACGGUCCAGACUCCUACGGGAGGCAGCAGUGGGGAAUAUUGGACAAUGGGCGCAAGCCUGAUCCAGCCAUACCGCGUGGGUGAAGAAGGCCUUCGGGUUGUAAAGCCCUUUUGUUGGGAAAGAAAUCCAGCUGGUUAAUACCCGGUUGGGAUGACGGUACCCAAGGAAUAAGCACCGGCUAACUUCGUGCCAGCAGCCGCCGUAA
rnacentral:rRNA from 1 species